AUAUUACCAUUGCUUCUCCUGCAACAGACAUUUCGGUUGUCCCCGAUGAUGGAAAGAUGGCAGAGACUGAAGUUGGUUCCUCCAGAAGUUCUCUUCUAGAAUGCAAUCACAAAGAUGCAUGUGGGUCUAUAACCAAUGAUUCACCUGUGGCUUCAGUUCAUGGCAUGCAGGUUGAAUCCUCACAAAAUGUGGAAAAACAUUGUGAUCAUGACUGUGUUUCUGAUGUUUCAAGUACAACUGCUUCUUCUAAAAUGAACUUCUCAGUUGUCUCCAAUGAGGAAAAGAUGGCAGAGGCUGAAGUUGAUUCCUCCAGAAGUUCUCUGCUAAAUUGCCACCAUAAAGAUGCAUGUGGGUCUGGAACCAAUGUUUCACUUGCAACUUCAGUUUAUGAUACACAGGUUGAAUCCUCAGAAAAUGUGGAAAGACAUUGUGGUAAUGGCUGUGUUUCUGAUUUUUAUAUUACCAUUGCUUCUACUGCAACAGACAUUUCAGUCGUCCCCAAUGAUGGAAAGAUGGCAGAGACUGAAGCUGAUUCCUCCAGAAGUUCUCUUCUAGAAUGCAACCACAAAGAUGCAUGUGGGUCUAUAACCAAUGAUUCACCUGCGGCUUCAGUUCAUGGCAUGCAGGUUGAUUCCUCACAUAAUGUGGAAAAACAUUGUGAUCAUGACUGUGUUUCUGAUGUUUCAAGUAUAAUUGCUUCUUCUAAAAUGAGCUUCUCAGUUGUUUCCAAUGAGAAAACGAUGGCAGAGACUGAAGUUGAUUCCUCCAGAAGUUCUCUGCUAAAUUGCCACCAUAAAGAUGCAUGUGGGUCUGGAACCAAUGGUUCACCUGCAACUUCAAUUUGUGGUACAAACUUUGAACCCUCACAAAAUGUGAAAAGACAUUGUGAUAAUGACUGUGUUUCUGAUGUUUCUAUUACCAUUGCUUCUCCUGAAACAAACAUUUCAGUUGUCUCCAGUGAUGGAAAGAUGGCAGAGACUGAAGCUGAUUCCUCCAGAAGUUCUCUUCUAGAUUGCAACCAUAAAGAUGCAUGUGGGUCUAUAACCAAUGAUUCACCUGCGGCUUCAGUUCAUGGCACACAGGUUGAACACUCAAAAGAUUUGGACGGACAUUGUAAUGACUGCUUUUCUGAUGCUUCUAGCACCAUUGCUUCUCCAGGAAUAAACAUUUCAGUUAUCUCUAGUGAUGAAAAGGUGGCAGAUACU
rnacentral:lncRNA from 1 species